CCCAGACUCCUACGGGAGGCAGCAGUGGGGAAUAUUGCACAAUGGGGGAAACCCUGAUGCAGCGACGCCGCGUGAGUGAAGAAGUAUUUCGGUAUGUAAAGCUCUAUCAGCAGGGAAGAUAAUGACGGUACCUGACUAAGAAGCCCCGGCUAACUACGUGCCAGCAGCCGCGGUAAUACGUAGGGGGCAAGCGUUAUCCGGAUUUACUGGGUGUAAAGGGUGCGCAGGUGGCAGGGCAAGUCAGAUGUGAAAGCCCGGGGCUCAACCCCGGUAUUGCAUUUGAAACUGUCCGGCUAGAGUGCAGGAGAGGUAAGCGGAAUUCCUAGUGUAGCGGUGAAAUGCGUAGAUAUUAGGAGGAACACCAGUGGCGAAGGCGGCUUACUGGACUGUAACUGACACUGAGGCACGAAAGCGUGGGGAGCAAACAGGAUUAGAUACCCUGGUAUAC
rnacentral:rRNA from 1 species